rnacentral:rRNA from 1 species
GAUUGAACGCUGGCGGCAUGCCUUACACAUGCAAGUCGGACGGCAGCGCGGGGGCAACCCUGGCGGCGAGUGGCGAACGGGUGAGUAAUACAUCGGAACGUGUCCUGGAGUGGGGGAUAGCCCGGCGAAAGCCGGAUUAAUACCGCAUACGCUCURWGGAGGAAAGCGGGGGAUCUUCGGACCUCGCGCUCAAGGGGCGGCCGAUGGCAGAUUAGGUAGUUGGUGGGGUAAAGGCCUACCAAGCCGACGAUCUGUAGCUGGUCUGAGAGGACGACCAGCCACACUGGGACUGAGACACGGCCCAGACUCCUACGGGAGGCAGCAGUGGGGAAUUUUGGACAAUGGGGGCAACCCUGAUCCAGCAAUGCCGCGUGUGUGAAGAAGGCCUUCGGGUUGUAAAGCACUUUUGUCCGGAAAGAAAACUUCUGGGUUAAUACCCCGGGAGGAUGACGGUACCGGAAGAAUAAGCACCGGCUAACUAC